rnacentral:snRNA from 1 species
GGAUGUGAGGGCGAUCUGGCUGUGACAUCUGUCACCCCAUUGAUUACCAGGUUGAUUUGGCUGAUCUGGCUGGCUAGGCAGGUGUCCCCUUCCUCCCUCACCACUCCAUGUGUGACACUUCAGAAGCUUUGCGCUAGGUCUACUUGGCCUACCCCAAGUAGAGGUGACCGGUCUUUGGUUGAGGGUAUAUUAGUAGCUGUGCUCCCCUGCUAGAAACUGAUCAGGUAUUUCCUCUAUCCUGUCAUAUUUUCAUCACCAAAAGAAUUCUCCUCCUGGGAGCUAAGCAGGAAGGAGAUCCUCCAACCUAGUCCAACUUGUACCCUCCAAGUU